UACGAAGGGGGCUGGCGUUGUUCGGAAUUACUGGGCGUAAAGCGCGCGCAGGCGGCUAUCCAAGUCAGUGGUGAAAGCCCGGAGCUCAACUCCGGAACUGCCAUUGAAACUGUUUAGCUUGAGUAUGAGAGAGGUGAGUGGAAUUCCCAGUGUAGAGGUGAAAUUCGUAGAUAUUGGGAAGAACACCGGUGGCGAAGGCGGCUCACUGGCUCAUUACUGACGCUCAGGCGCGACAGCGUGGGGAUCAAACAGG
rnacentral:rRNA from 1 species